GCCAGUGUGGUGUAGUGCUUUGAACAUUGGGCUAUGACUCUGAAGACCAAGGUUCAAAUCCCAGCUCGGCCA